GGGUUGUGAGGUUAAGCGACUAAGCGUACACGGUGGAUGCCCUGGCAGUCAGAGGCGAUGAAGGACGUGCUAAUCUGCGAAAAGCGUCGGUAAGGUGAUAUGAACCGUUAUAACCGGCGAUGUCCGAAUGGGGAAACCCAGUGUGAUUCGUCACACUAUCGUUAACUGAAUACAUAGGUUAACGAGGCGAACCGGGGGAACUGAAACAUCUAAGUACCCCGAGGAAAAGAAAUCAACCGAGAUUCCCCCAGUAGCGGCGAGCGAACGGGGAGCAGCCCAGAGUCUGAAUCAGCUUGUGUGUUAGUGGAACGGUCUGGAAAGUCCGACGGUACAGGGUGAUAGUCCCGUACACCAAAAUGCACAGGCUGUGAACUCGAAGAGUAGGGCGGGACACGUGGUAUCCUGUCUGAAUAUGGGGGGACCAUCCUCCAAGGCUAAAUACUCCUGACUGACCGAUAGUGAACCAGUACCGUGAGGGAAAGGCGAAAAGAACCCCGGCGAGGGGAGUGAAAAAGAACCUGAAACCGUGUACGUACAAGCAGUGGGAGCACCUUCGGGUGUGACUGCGUACCUUUUGUAUAAUGGGUCAGCGACUUAUAUUCUGUAGCAAGGUUAACCGUAUAGGGGAGCCGCAGGGAAACCGAGUCUUAACUGGGCGUUAAGUUGCAGGGUAUAGACCCGAAACCCGGUGAUCUAGCCAUGGGCAGGUUGAAGGUUGGGUAACACUAACUGGAGGACCGAACCGACUAAUGUUGAAAAAUUAGCGGAUGACUUGUGGCUGGGGGUGAAAGGCCAAUCAAACCGGGAGAUAGCUGGUUCUCCCCGAAAGCUAUUUAGGUAGCGCCUCGUGAACUCAUCUUCGGGGGUAGAGCACUGUUUCGGCUAGGGGGUCAUCCCGACUUACCAACCCGAUGCAAACUACGAAUACCGAAGAAUGUUAUCACGGGAGACACACGGCGGGUGCUAACGUCCGUCGUGAAGAGGGAAACAACCCAGACCGCCAGCUAAGGUCCCAAAGUCAUGGUUAAGUGGGAAACGAUGUGGGAAGGCACAGACAGCCAGGAUGUUGGCUUAGAAGCAGCCAUCAUUUAAAGAAAGCGUAAUAGCUCACUGGUCGAGUCGGCCUGCGCGGAAGAUGUAACGGGGCUAAACCAUGCACCGAAGCUGCGGCAGCGACACUAUGUGUUGUUGGGUAGGGGAGCGUUCUGUAAGCCUGCGAAGGUGUGCUGUGAGGCAUGCUGGAGGUAUCAGAAGUGCGAAUGCUGACAUAAGUAACGAUAAAGCGGGUGAAAAGCCCGCUCGCCGGAAGACCAAGGGUUCCUGUCCAACGUUAAUCGGGGCAGGGUGAGUCGACCCCUAAGGCGAGGCCGAAAGGCGUAGUCGAUGGGAAACAGGUUAAUAUUCCUGUACUUGGUGUUACUGCGAAGGGGGGACGGAGAAGGCUAUGUUAGCCGGGCGACGGUUGUCCCGGUUUAAGCAUGUAGGCUGAUUGUCCAGGCAAAUCCGGAUAAUCAAGGCUGAGGUGUGAUGACGAGGCACUACGGUGCUGAAGUAACAAAUGCCCUGCUUCCAGGAAAAGCCUCUAAGCAUCAGGUAACAUCAAAUCGUACCCCAAACCGACACAGGUGGUCAGGUAGAGAAUACCAAGGCGCUUGAGAGAACUCGGGUGAAGGAACUAGGCAAAAUGGUGCCGUAACUUCGGGAGAAGGCACGCUGGUGUGUAGGUGAAGUCCCUGCGGAUGGAGCUGAGACCAGUCGAAGAUACCAGCUGGCUGCAACUGUUUAUUAAAAACACAGCACUGUGCAAACACGAAAGUGGACGUAUACGGUGUGACGCCUGCCCGGUGCCGGAAGGUUAAUUGAUGGGGUUAUCCGUAAGGAGAAGCUCUUGAUCGAAGCCCCGGUAAACGGCGGCCGUAACUAUAACGGUCCUAAGGUAGCGAAAUUCCUUGUCGGGUAAGUUCCGACCUGCACGAAUGGCGUAAUGAUGGCCAGGCUGUCUCCACCCGAGACUCAGUGAAAUUGAACUCGCUGUGAAGAUGCAGUGUACCCGCGGCAAGACGGAAAGACCCCGUGAACCUUUACUAUAGCUUGACACUGAACAUUGAGCCUUGAUGUGUAGGAUAGGUGGGAGGCUUUGAAGCGUGGACGCCAGUCUGCGUGGAGCCAACCUUGAAAUACCACCCUUUAAUGUUUGAUGUUCUAACGUUGGCCCCUGACCGGGGUUGCGGACAGUGUCUGGUGGGUAGUUUGACUGGGGCGGUCUCCUCCCAAAGCGUAACGGAGGAGCACGAAGGUUAGCUAAUCCUGGUCGGACAUCAGGAGGUUAGUGCAAUGGCAUAAGCUAGCUUGACUGCGAGCGUGACGGCGCGAGCAGGUGCGAAAGCAGGUCAUAGUGAUCCGGUGGUUCUGAAUGGAAGGGCCAUCGCUCAACGGAUAAAAGGUACUCCGGGGAUAACAGGCUGAUACCGCCCAAGAGUUCAUAUCGACGGCGGUGUUUGGCACCUCGAUGUCGGCUCAUCACAUCCUGGGGCUGAAGUAGGUCCCAAGGGUAUGGCUGUUCGCCAUUUAAAGUGGUACGCGAGCUGGGUUUAGAACGUCGUGAGACAGUUCGGUCCCUAUCUGCCGUGGGCGCUGGAGAAUUGAGGGGGGCUGCUCCUAGUACGAGAGGACCGGAGUGGACGCAUCACUGGUGUUCGGGUUGUCAUGCCAAUGGCACUGCCCGGUAGCUAAAUGCGGAAGAGAUAAGUGCUGAAAGCAUCUAAGCACGAAACUUGCCCCGAGAUGAGUUCUCCCUGAGACUAUAAGUCUCCUGAAGGAACGUUAAAGACGAUGACGUUGAUAGGCCGGGUGUGUAAGCGCAGCGAUGCGUUGAGCUAACCGGUACUAAUGAACCGUGAGGCUUAACCUUACAACGCCGAAG
rnacentral:rRNA from 1 species